rnacentral:rRNA from 1 species
AGAGUUUGAUCCUGGCUCAGGACGAACGCUGGCGGCGUGCUUUACACAUGCAAGUCGAGCGAUGAGAUCCCUUCGGGGAAGGAUUAGCGGCGAACGGGUGAGGAACACGUGAGGAAUCUGCCUUCAACACUGGGAUAACUCCGGGAAACCGGGGCUAAUACCGGAUACGAGACCUGCAGGCAUCUGCGGGUCUGGAAAGUUUUUCGGUUGAAGAUGACCUCGCGGCCUAUCAGCUUGUUGGUGAGGUAAUGGCUCACCAAGGCGACGACGGGUAGCCGGCCUGAGAGGGCGACCGGCCACACUGGGACUGAGACACGGCCCAGACUCCUACGGGAGGCAGCAGUGGGGAAUAUUGGGCAAUGGAGGAAACUCUGACCCAGCGACGCCGCGUGCGGGAUGAAGGCCUUCGGGUUGUAAACCGCUUUCAGCAAGGAAGAAGCGAAAGUGACGGUACUUGCAGAAGAAGCACCGGCUAACUAUGUGCCAGCAGCCGCGGUAAUACAUAGGGUGCAAGCGUUGUCCGGAAUUAUUGGGCGUAAAGAGCUCGUAGGUGGUUCGUCACGUCGGAUGUGAAAAUCUGGGGCUUAACCCCAGACCUGCAUUCGAUACGGGCGAGCUAGAGUGUGGUAGGGGAGACUGGAAUUCCUGGUGUAGCGGUGGAAUGCGCAGAUAUCAGGAGGAACACCAAUGGCGAAGGCAGGACUCUGGGCCAUUACUGACACUGAGGAGCGAAAGCGUGGGGAGCGAACAGGAUUAGAUACCCUGGUAGUCCACGCCGUAAACGAUCAUCACUCGCUGUUGGCGAUAUACUGUCAGCGGCCAAGCGAAAGUAUUAAGUGAUGCACCUGGGGAGUACGCCGGCAACGGUGAAACUCAAAGGAAUUGACGGGGGCCCGCACAAGCGGUGGAGCAUGUGGUUUA